UACGUAGGGUGCGAGCGUUAAUCGGAAUUACUGGGCGUAAAGCGUGCGCAGGCGGUUUUGUAAGCCAGGUGUGAAAUCCCCGGGCUCAACCUGGGAAUGGCAUUUGGGACUGCAAGGCUGGAGUGCGGCAGAGGAGACUGGAAUUCCUGGUGUAGCAGUGAAAUGCGUAGAUAUCAGGAGGAACACCGGUGGCGAAGGCGGUUCUCUGGGCCUGUACUGACGCUGAGGAGCGAAAGCGUGGGGAGCGAACAGG
rnacentral:rRNA from 1 species